rnacentral:rRNA from 1 species
GACGUAGGGCGCGAGCGUUGUCCGGAUUUAUUGGGCGUAAAGAGCUCGUAGGCGGUCUGUCGCGUCGGCUGUGAAAACCCGAGGCUCAACCUCGGGCCUGCAGUGGGUACGGGCAGACUAGAGUGCGGUAGGGGAGAUUGGAAUUCCUGGUGUAGCGGUGGAAUGCGCAGAUAUCAGGAGGAACACCAAUGGCGAAGGCAGAUCUCUGGGCCGUAACUGACGCUGAGGAGCGAAAGCAUGGGGAGCGAACAGG